rnacentral:rRNA from 1 species
UGGGGAAUAUUGGGCAAUGGGCGCAAGCCUGACCCAGCAACGCCGCGUGAAGGAAGAAGGCUUUCGGGUUGUAAACUUCUUCUCUCAGGGACGAAGCAAGUGACGGUACCUGAGGAAUAAGCCACGGCUAACUACGUGCCAGCAGCCGCGGUAAUACGUAGGUGGCAAGCGUUAUCCGGAUUUACUGGGUGUAAAGGGCGUGUAGGCGGGAUCGCAAGUCAGAUGUGAAAACUGGAGGCUCAACCUCCAGCCUGCAUUUGAAACUGUGGUUCUUGAGUACUGGAGAGGCAGACGGAAUUCCUAGUGUAGCGGUGAAAUGCGUAGAUAUUAGGAGGAACACCAGUGGCGAAGGCGGUCUGCUGGACAGCAACUGACGCUGAGGCGCGAAAGCGUGGGGAGCAAACAGGAUUAGAUACC